GACAGAGGAUGCAAGCGUUAUCCGUAAUGAUUGGGCGUAAAGCGUCUGUAGGUGGUUUAUUAAGUCUACUGUUAAAGAUCAGGGCUUAACCCUGAGCAGGCAAUAGAAACUAAUAAGCUAGAGUACGGUAGGGGCAGAGGGAAUUCCCGGUGUAGCGGUGAAAUGCGUAGAGAUUGGGAAGAACAUCAGUGGCGAAAGCGCUCUACUGGACCUUAUCUGACAUUGAGGGACGAAAGCUAGGGGAGCGAAUGGG
rnacentral:rRNA from 1 species